GCCCCUUUAGCUCAGGUAGUAGAGUAAUUCCAUGGUAAGGAAGAGGUCGUCCGUGCAAGUCGGGCAAGGGGCA
rnacentral:tRNA from 1 species